rnacentral:rRNA from 1 species
UGGGGAAUUUUGGACAAUGGGCGAAAGCCUGAUCCAGCAAUGCCGCGUGAGUGAAGAAGGCCUUCGGGUUGUAAAGCUCUUUUGUCAGGGGAGAAACGGUGAGAGCUAAUAUCUUUUGCUAAUGACGGUACCUGAAGAAUAAGCACCGGCUAACUACGUGCCAGCAGCUGCGGUAAUACGUAGGGUGCAAGCGUUAAUCGGAAUUACUGGGCGUAAAGCGUGCGCAGGCGGUUUUGUAAGUCUGAUGUGAAAUCCCCGGGCUCAACCUGGGAAUUGCAUUGGAGACUGCAAGGCUAGAAUCUGGCAGAGGGGGGUAGAAUUCCACGUGUAGCAGUGAAGUGCGUAGAUAUGUGGAGGAACACCGAUGGCGAAGGCAGCCCCCUGGGUCAAGAUUGACGCUCAUGCACGAAAGCGUGGGGAGCAAACAGGAUUAGAUACCCUGGUAGUCCACGCCCUAAACGAUGUCUACUAGUUGUCGGGUCUUAAUUGACUUGGUAACGCAGCUAACGCGUGAAGUAGACCGCCUGGGGAGUACGGUCGCAAGAUUAAAACUUAAAUGAUUGNCGGGGUCAUAGCUGUUUCCUG